rnacentral:rRNA from 1 species
GUAAAUACUUCACCCUUAGCCCGACGAUCCGUAGCUGGUCUGAGAGGAUGACCAGCCCACACUGGAAGUGAGACACGGUCCAGACUCCUACGGGAGGCAGCAGUGGGGAAUAUUGCACAAAUGGGCGCAAAGCAGUGAUGCAGCCAAAAAAAAGAGUAUGAAGAAGGCCUUCCGGGUUGUAAAGUACUUUCAGCGGGGAGGAAGGGAGUAAAGUUAUUACCUUUGCUCAUAGACGUUACCCGCAGAAGAAGCACCGGCUAAAUCCGUGCCAGCAGCCGCGGUAAUACGGAGGGUGCAAGCGUUAAUCGGAAUUACUGGGCGUAAAGCGCACGCAGGCGGUUUGUUAAGUCAGAUGUGAAAUCCCCGGGCUCAACCUGGGAACUGCAUCUGAUACUGGCAAGCUUGAGUCUCGUAGAGGGGGGUAGAAUUCCAGGUGUAGCGGUGAAAUGCGUAGAGAUCUGGAGNGAAUNNACGGGUGGCGAAGGCGGCCCCCUGGACGAAGACUGACGCUCAGGUGCGAAAGCGUGGGGAGCAAACAGGAUUAGAUACCCUGGUAGUCCACGCCGUAAACGAUGUCGACUUGGAGGUUGUGCCCUUGAGGCGUGGCUUCCGGAGCUAACGCGUUAAGUCGACCGCCUGGGGAGUACGGCCGCAAGGUNUNAAAACUCAAAUGAAUUGACGGGGGCCCGCACAAGCGGUGGAGCAUGUGGUUUAAUUCGAUGCAACGCGAAGAACCUUACCUGGUCUUGACAUCCACGGAAGUUUUCAGAGAUGAGAAUGUGCCUUCGGGAACCGUGAGACAGGUGCUGCAUGGCUGUCGUCAGCUCGUGUUGUGAAAUGUUGGGUUAAGUCCCGCAACGAGCGCAACCCUUAUCCUUUGUUGCCAGCGGUCCGGCCGGGAACUCAAAGGAGACUGCCAGUGAUAAACUGGAGGAAGGUGGGGAUGACGUCAAGUCAUCUUGGCUCUUACGACCAGGGCUACACACGUGCUACAAUGGCGCAUACAAAGAGAAGCGACCUCGCGAGAGCAAGCGGACCUCAUAAAGUGCGUCGUAUUCCGGAUUGGAGUCUGCCACUCGACUCCAUGAAGUCGGAUUCGCUAGUAAUCGUGUAUCAAAAUGCCACGGGUGAAUACUUUUCCCGGGCUCUUGGUACACUCCGCCCGUCCCACCAUGGGGUAGU